UACGUAGGGUCCGAGCGUUGUCCGGAAUUAUUGGGCGUAAAGGGCUCGUAGGCGGUUUGUUGCGUCGGGAGUGAAAACUUACAGCUUAACUGUGAGCGUGCUUCCGAUACGGGCAGACUUGAGGUAUUCAGGGGAGAACGGAAUUCCUGGUGUAGCGGUGAAAUGCGCAGAUAUCAGGAGGAACACCGGUGGCGAAGGCGGGUCUCUGGGCCGGAACUGACGCUGAGGAGCGAAAGCGUGGGGAGCGAACAGG
rnacentral:rRNA from 1 species